ACGGGAGAAGGGAGUAAAUUGAGCCAGUGGGUAAAUUGAACCAACCCCCUGUAACCAAGCAACGCCUUAUAGUUGUAAUCACGUGACCAGAAAUUAUGCAAGCUCCUCCCAUUUCUCAUUGCCUGUGAAAGAGAGAUGCUCAUUGUGGUCUGAAAAUGCUCAGGCCACACCAGGCACCAGUCCCCCACAGCAGAGCAGACCAGUCCUCCCACCACACCCAGCACACUCUGACCUCCAUUCCAGCUCAGCACGGCUGCCGCCAGCAGCAGAACGGGGGCCGUUUUGACGGCUGCAGACAUGAUGGACCCCGGGGAGUCAGGAGUCCAAAGACACAUACAUCCAGAUGUCCUCGUCUUAUUCCCUCCAGUGUGGAAUCUCUGCUGCUUCUCUCAGUCUGCUGGAAUUCCACACGAAUGAACUUUGUCCCGAUCUUUGCUGUCUGAUUGUACGCUGAUAAUCAAUGUUCUGCCUGUUUCACUUCUCAUGGACAAACUGCUGACCUUUAACAUCUUCAGCUGGGAUAUGUUGAUGACAUCAACACAAAAGGGGCAAAGUUGAUUUAGUAGUAAACUCAUAUAAUAAAGGUUGUUAUAUCUUUAA